rnacentral:rRNA from 1 species
GUGCCAGCAGCCGCGGUAAUACCGGCAGCCCAAGUGAUGGCCGAUCUUAUUGGGCCUAAAGCGUCCGUAGCUGGCUGAACAAGUCCGUUGGGAAAUCUGUCCGCUUAACGGGCAGGCGUCCAGCGGAAACUGUUCAGCUUGGGACCGGAAGACCUGAGGGGUACGUCUGGGGUAGGAGUGAAAUCCUGUAAUCCUGGACGGACCGCCGGUGGCGAAAGCGCCUCUGGAAGACGGAUCCGACGGUGAGGGACGAAAGCUCGGGUCACGAACCGGAUUAGAUACCCCUGUAGUCC